CCCGCCCGCCGGGACUGAGCGCGGCGCCUCCGCACCGCCAUGAGGGCCAAGUGGCGCAAGAAGCGCAUGCGCAGGCUGAAGCGCAAGAGGAGGAAGAUGAGGCAGAGGUCCAAGUAGGCCCCGCCGCGGAGCCGAGCAGGGCCGGGGCGCGGGGCCGCCACCGCGGGGAAGACGUCCCGGUGCUCUGCGGGGGGGAGCCCGGUGCUGCGGGGUGGGCCCCGCUGCGCCGGGCCGGUUCUGUUCUCUGUGGCGGCCAUGGUGCCGCGAAUAAAGCUGGUGUUGUUUGGGA